CAAAGAGAGUUGCAAAACUCCCUAAACCCCUGUGAACCUACCUCUUUUCCUUCGGCAGGCGGCCCCAGGGCGGGGCUGUGGUCUGCUACGCGCAGGCGCCUGCCGGAGACCCUUAAACUCUGUUAUACUGUUUGUCUGAGUACUACAAAAUAAUUA
rnacentral:misc_RNA from 1 species